CCUUUAAAAGAGAUUUUAACACAAAGGACCCAUUCAAGUGUUCUACUGUGGAGGGAAGUUGAAAACAUGCAUCUGCACACAUCUUGGCUGUUUGUUUGUGAUAGAAGAUCCAGUUAAGAACACCACUGGGCCUUUCUGCACACUUCCCAUGUGUAAUGUCAAGACAUGAGGUUAAUUGCAGGCACCCAUAUCGGAAAUAAUUAUGGAGUCAGAAAAAUGGUGAGCAACCUUGCCCUCCAAGAGGAAUGUGUAGGUCUGCAUGGCAAAUGUCACAGAUGGCAUGGCACAUUGAGCAAAACCACAUUUCUCUGUCAUCCCUUCUUUUACAUUGCAACAUAAGUGCCUGGACUCUGAGCAGAGCUGGAUCUGUCUCCCAUCACUGGAAAAUGCGAGGAGGGUCCUGAACACACUGGUAAGGUGGUUGUUUUUAGAAUGUGGCAGAAAUAAAUACCAUGGGAAAAUGGGGCCGGGGAGUGGCCUGACCUAAGCCAUCUCCUGUAAGAGGCAGCCAGUCAGCAAAGAAACAGGAAAGUUAGACAAAAUCCUGGUCAGAGUUAAAUGGAACCACCCAAAUGAGACCAACCAGGACUCCCUUAGCUACAAUUCUACUGUAAGAGAGCCCCCGCAUCUCUAAAGGGGUGCAGUGAGGCAACUUGCUUUCCCCCAAAUUUACUUUCACCCUCCCCGACACUCAUAGAUUUUAAUAGGCUUAAGAUUUCCUGAAAAAUACAUGGCCAUAUAAUUUUUCUCUCCCAGAGGUUCUCUGCCACAGCAUGUUCUCUUUGAAAUUUUUGACUAUGAAUUACCAUUCUAUAAGCGUUUACUGACGUGCCAACUUGGAAACAUCAAAUAAUAUUUAUGGCAUUGCAAAUUAUACACAAUUAUUAUAUUGCAAGUCAAUGGCUUAAGAAUGUUUUAAAGCUAAAAAAGAAAUAAUUAUGUUUUUUGGUUGGUCUGUGUAUAAAACAACUCACAGAGAGCGGCAUAGUAUUAGCCAUUCAUAUACAGUAUUUAAUCCUGUGAUAAGUGGUAAUGCUCUGGUAUUGAUUUCUUUGUAAGUGAUGAGUAUUAUAAAGCUAAAGGAAUUAGCUUUAUAAUGCCUUUGGAAUUAGAUCAGGUGUGUAUCAUUGUGGGCAAUUCAAAUAACCUCUUAAAACUUCAGUUUCCUUUUUGGUAAACUGGGAGUAAAACUCAUCACACAGAGUUGUGAUAAGAAUUACAUAAAAUAAUGAAUAUAACACACCUGGAAUUACUAGGAGCCAAAUGAAUAUGCCUUGCAGCCUUUCCCUAUGCCCACUUUUCCUACAGGUUACAUUUGCAACCAGCACAUACUACAUUAUUUUGGUGACUUUUUCUUUUUACCCCCAAAUUAAUUUAUUUCUUAAUUCGUUUUCUUUUCAUAGCAGGCGUUACAAAAUAGGAACAACAAAACCAAUGGAAAACAAUCCCUCAGGAAUAGAUUGAUUAAUUACUGCUGAUUAUCCUUAGUGUUGAAUGCAGUGCCUGGCAUUUAAUAGGUACUCAGUGUUUUUGAUUGAUUGGUUCGUUGUUCAUCAAAUGCCUUAAUUUAAAAUUUCCAGAUUUACUUUGAAAGGAGCAGUCUCUGUUGCCAAGCAAGGAAUUAAACUUUUCUUAGAAAAAUGUCUCCAUAUAAGAAAGGGUACCAUGAUUUAUUUCAAAGAACAGAAUUAGGAGCAGAAGCUGAACAUCCUAGGAAAGGUAAUUUUAUCUCAGUUUUAAGAGCUGUUUAAUGUAAUCCCAGCUACUUAGGAGGCUGAGGCAUGAGAAUCACUUGAACUCGGGAGGCGGAGGUUGCAGUGAGCGGAGGUUGCGCCACUGCACUCCAGCCUGGGCCACAGAGAGAGACUCUGUCUCAAAAACAAAGAACUGUUUAACAAUUAAAUUUGCCCAUUUGUGCAGUGGGCAUUCUUGUGAGGUAUAUUAUAUAAGAUGAAAUAAUCUUAAAUGCACCCCCUUCCCUUAAAAUGUCUCCCACUUAUAUUUUGUCCUGUAUUAAUGUUAUUUUUUAAAAAUUCACAGAAAUCUUAAGAAGUUUUUGUCUAUAUGUGUGAACCAAGUAAUGUUUGUGAACUCUAAUUAGUCAAUAUAUACUAAUGUCUUAGAAUGUCAGAGUAAGGAUCCAUUCUGGACAAGCAUUGUAAAAAAAGGUCUGCCUUGUCUUGGGUGAAUGUAAGGUAUGGGGGAUGCAAUUAUAAGAUAAAUGAAUAGGGAUUGUGCUUGUGAUUCAAACUCUAUUUAAGGGCCAAGAAAUGAGCAUUUAAAAUUUGGCUGCAUACCAAAUCAGGUAGCCAGGAUCAGGGAAAGGGUUUUUUUUGAAAAGUGUUCUGGGCACUCCAGUGUUGAGUGUUCUUCACCAUCUCCUCCAGAUAAUUUACUCGAGGCCAUGCUGGGUGACCAGCUGGGCAUCUAAAAUUGAUGGCAAGUGAGGGCUAGUUUUAUAGCAUCCCGUGUUUGUCCACGAGAUGGACUUUACAAAAUCCAGUGGAGUCUCAUCCUAGAGAUGUCCCUGUCUCCAAGACUAAGUUGUUGAAUGUAGAGGAAGAGGAAAAAAGGGCUGUACUGAAUUGGCUUUUCUAUUCAUCCUUAUGAUCUUGCGUCUCUUUUAAAAGACUGGCUAUUAACAGAAGCUAAUUUAAUACUUCUAGUUCAGAGAGAGAAGGACAUUUGAAAUACUCAUGGAUUCUGAGAGCUAUAUUUUCAGUAACUUGGACCUAGCUAGAACCAUUCCAGAAGAGGUGGUAGAAGCUUUAUUCUUGAAGAGCCCUUCUAUGGAGGGAUGAUGUUACAGGUAUGAGGGUGAGGUAUGCCAACUCCAAGUUUUUUAUAAUUUGGUGACUCUGUGUGAAUUUCUAAGAUACGGUGCAAUGAAUUCUGGUUCUGGAGGUGAGAGUUCUAGAUUAGGAAAUUUUACCAUGUGAUUCUACUUUAUAACUUCUGCUUGCUGUAUCUGUUAGAAUCUCAGUCCAGUUGCUGGGUGAAAUCUAUGCAUUUUCUGUCGUGCUACCUCAACAAAGAAGUCAAUUAGAAUGCUUACCUCUCAGUCUAAUAUUUAACUGCUCAGAAGGAAGCUACAGAAACAGCUUGGAUUUAAUCAUGGAAAAUGAUGUGUUUACCUCAGAACAUUUUAAGUUAAUGAAAAACCUGGAAAAUAUCAAUUUGGUCAUAAUGCAAAGUCCAGAAAGCAGUAAAUAAUUCUAGCACCUUUCUGUGUCCCUGAAACAAAACUAGCUUUGUUUUAUUUUGUUAUAUUUUAAAUCUAUUUUCUGUUUUAUACCUCAGUAGGAUAUAUUUUCAGCUUUGAAAGGCACAUUAAAUCACAGAUCCUUAAAGCAGGGUUUGAAAAACACACAAACACCCGUAAGUUCUGCUAAUUCAUACUGUGUUGAGCUGUCUGGAUGGAUACAUUCACAUUCAAACGGAGAAACUUGGUCAGUGUGCUGAAUCUCUACGUGACAAAAACAUUUUUGUUUAUUAGUGUCUACUUGAGGAAAUGUAUCCAUAUGAACACUGGUCUCUUAAUGCACAUUUAUUUUAUAGUCUUCAUUUUAUGACUGGCAGAUUAAACACCUCAGUUACAUGCCUUGAAAGGUCUAGAAAGAACUAUUCAUGCUAAAAUAUUCCUGCUUAGGGCACGUGGGUCAGGUAGAAGGUUGAAGUGUAUAGGGAUCAGCAUGGUGCCAAUGAUGCUUCCUAGGGGUAGGCAUUGGAGUGGAGGUGCAGGGAGUGCAGGCAUUUAUUCUACCAAAAUUUACUGAGUAACUGCUAUGUGCCAAGCUCUGUGUUGAAUACUACAGACAGCACUGUCAUCUGCCCCAUGGACUUUACAAUUUGUACAUUGCUAGCAAUCGUUAGGGAUAGCUCACAAGAGCUAUGUGAAAGGAAAUAUGAAGUCAAAUCUUACUACUGGUUAGAUUGAGAUGGAUCCUGGCACAAGCCAAGGAGUAUGGUCUAAUCUUCCAUUAUGUGUGGGCUUCCAGGAGUCAGGUUCCCAGAAGGCUCUACAGACCAUUUGGUCAUGAAGCCAAUGGUAAAUCCUCAGAUUGGAGGAUCAUUCAAGAGCAGUUUUUAUGUGCUGUAUCAUAAAUGCCUUAGCAGAAAUUCAGUUAAACUAGUGAAAUAAAAAUAGUGAGUUUUAUGUGACUAGGAGAAUAAAAUACAUUUUUAUGCCGUUACUUACUUUGUAGAAAGAGAAAAAGAAUGUAUUCAUUGAUUCAAAAGUAGCUGGCAUUAUUGAGAGCUUACAAUGUCCUAAGAGCUGUACUAAGCAUCUUAUAUACACAUUCUCAUUUAAUCUCCAAAAUCAGCCCUAUAAGCUGCAUACUAUUACUAUCUCAGUUUUGCCGUUAGGAAAUUAAGGCACAGAGAGGCUAACUACCUUAUUCAACAUCAUGUAGCUUUUGAAUGGGUGGGGAGAAGGUAGCUUUGAAUUGGUUUGGAUCAUAAUCUUGAACGUCAUAAUCUCAAAUGUUGAAAUCCUGAAAGAUCAAAAUCCUUAAAGUCUAAAUCCUUAAACUCCUUAAUAUCUAAAAUCCAGAAAAUCAUAAUCAUAGGAUAGUUGCAUCAUGUUAGGUAGAACUAUUACCCUGUUAUUGUCUUUAUAUUGUCUUUAUUAAGCAUGGUUUAAGGAGCCACAUAUGGAUGCCAAGUUGACAAGGGCUGGACUUGUGGAUUUAAUUUUAGGUGUCAGCUUGACUGGAUUAAGGGAUACCUAGAAACCUGGCAAAGCAUUAUUUUGGGUGUGUAUAUCAAAUAAUAGAAGAACCUCAAAAAGAACAAUGCCAUGUAGAAAAUGAAUGUGAAUGUAUUGCCUGAGGAGAGCCGCAUCGGAAAAGAAAAAAUGGAGCUAUUCAUUGGGAUACAAGACUUUAAAACAGAGUUAACAAUUAUGAAAGUUGGCCAGAUUUUAUGGACUAUCUCUGUGUAAUUGCCCAUAAUUUACCCGUCAUAUAUUUUUUCAUAGGCUGAAUUUUCUUUUUAGUUUUUUUCUUUUCUUUUAGUUUUUCUUCACUAUUUUAAAUUUUCAGCAUUAUUUUUAUAAAUUGUUAUGUAUUUCAUCUUCACAUAAUUUCCAAUACUGAAGGUAUAAAUUGUGUAGAGACUUUUAGAGACUUCUAAUUCAUUUUACGCAUUUUUUUUUUGUAAAUUUGACUCCUCAGAAGUGCAUUAUUACAAAGUUGACUUCAUGUGUAAGCAUAGUGUACGUAUGUAAAAGUGUUGAAACUUCCCCAAUAAAUGAAGAGAGGUCCUUUUUGUACAUCUACAUUUGUGAAAGAUAAAAUUUCUUGAGAUCUCAACUCUUUGGGCAAGUGCAUAUGUUGUGGUGACCCAUGGUGGUUUUUGAUUGAUCUCAUCAAAAGACUUAGAUUGUUACCCUGGUAUUUUAGAUGACCACAGUUAUAAAGCUGGGUACACACAGUUCCAAACAUAUUGAUAUGCAUUUAUACAUUUCCCUUUUUGACCUCUCUCCUUCCCUUCCCUUCCCCUUCCUUCCUUCCUUCCUCCCUCCCUCCCUCCCUUCCUUCCUUCCUUCCUUCCUUCCUUCUUCUUUCUUUCCUUUUCUUCCUUUCGACAUGGUCCCACUCUGUCCCCUAG
rnacentral:lncRNA from 1 species